rnacentral:rRNA from 1 species
AUUGAACGCUGGCGGCAGGCCUAACACAUGCAAGUCGAACGAGUGGCGGACGGGUGAGUAAUGUAUGGGCAACUGCCCGAUGGAGGGGGAUAACUACUGGAAACGGUAGCUAAUACCGAAUACCAGCGGAUGUGCCGAGAUGGGAUUAGCUAGUAGGUGGGGUAAUGGCUCACCUAGGCGACGAUCCCUAGCUGGUCUGAGAGGAUGACCACGCACACGUGAACUGAGACACGGUCCAGACUCCUACGGGAGGCAGCAGUGGGGAAUAUUGCACAAUGGGCGCAAGCCUGAUGCAGCCAUGCCGCGUGUAUGAAGAAGGCCUUCGGGUUGUAAAGUACGUUCAGCGAGGAGGCGUUACUCGCAGAAUAAGCACCGGCUAACUCCGUGCCAGCCGCCGCGGUAAUUC